rnacentral:rRNA from 1 species
GUGGGGAAUAUUGGACAAUGGGCGAAAGCCUGAUCCAGCCAUGCCGCGUGUGUGAAGAAGGUCUUCGGAUUGUAAAGCACUUUAAGUUGGGAGGAAGGGUAGUAACCUAAUACGUUGCUACUUUGACGUUACCGACAGAAUAAGCACCGGCUAACUUCGUGCCAGCAGCCGCGGUAAUACGAAGGGUGCAAGCGUUAAUCGGAAUUACUGGGCGUAAAGCGCGCGUAGGUGGUUCAGUAAGUUGGAAGUGAAAUCCCCGGGCUCAACCUGGGAACUGCUUUCAAAACUGCUGAGCUAGAGUACGGUAGAGGGUGGUGGAAUUUCCUGUGUAGCGGUGAAAUGCGUAGAUAUAGGAAGGAACACCAGUGGCGAAGGCGACUACCUGGACUGAUACUGACACUGAGGUGCGAAAGCGUGGGGAGCAAACAGGAUUAGAUACCCCUGUAGUCC